GGCCACCUGGAGUACCGGGAGUUUACCCGGUGGGCCGCUGGUCAAUGUGAGCCGGCACAGUCAGUACUUAAAAAUAAAAAAAAAUCAGUAUUUAAAAAAAAUGACGAAAACCAUAUUGCAUCUUAUUUCAACGCGUAUGGAUGAGGGCGUCGAGCGCCGCCGACAAAGUCCGUGUGUUUACAAUUAAACAUUGGAAUGUGGGAGAAGAGGAAUCCAGUAGAGAGACAAGUCCUUCGCUAGAUCCAGUUGUUUACUGCCUGUUUGGAAGAGGAUCUUUCUUGGAUACACUGGACUGUCCAUUUUGCUAUUUUGGUAUGUUUUAGAUUUGACUUACUUGCACUAAGGCAUUAGGAUUUUGAACUAAAAGUUAAAGUUAUUUGUACACAUACAUUAUAUAAGAACUAUAGAGUAAAAAAAAGGGGCCACAUUGUACUUUAUUUGUAAUAAAGUUUCUAAACCAUCUUUAAUUGGUACAUUGGGAAUCUUGUUUGAAAUCGUAAUUUCUUCAUAGAUUUUUAGUGAAGGAUAUUUCACAGCAAUGUUUAGGUUUGUGAGAGAGAAUGUUCCACUGUUAUACAGUAGCACAAUAGUCUAAAUAUUUCAUUUUGGUUUUCAUUUAAGGAUUUUACUGUAAUGCUAUAAAACUGAACUUCUUUUUAUUGUAUUUUGCAUCUUACCUGUACUAUACUGUGUCACAGUUCUACAGGCUAUUUUACAAAUAUUAUAAUCUUGAGUUUGUGUUAUCACUUUAUUGAACAUGUGUGUUCAUAAAAAUAUAUGAAAGAAAUGUUAAAUAUCAGGGUUUUUGUGUUAUUGCUUUAUUUAAAGGUGUUUGAUCUUCAAUUUAGGAAAAAUCUGUAAAUAACAGUGUUUCCCUGCUAAAUGUCUAAUGCUUUUGCUUAAUCAAAGGUGUUUGAUUGUAAUAA